rnacentral:rRNA from 1 species
UUUCCGAGAGGGGGUACUGCGGAAGGAUCAUUAC